CCUACGGGAGGCAGCAGUGAGGAAUAUUGGUCAAUGGCCGGAAGGCUGAACCAGCCAAGCCGCGUGAGGGAGGAAGGCGCAGAGCGUCGCAGACCUCUUUUGCCGGGUGACAAAAGGCCGGACUCGUCCGGUCCUGAGGGUACCCGGAGAAAAAGCAUCGGCUAACUCCGUGCCAGCAGCCGCGGUAAUACGGAGGAGUCGAGCGUUAUCCAGACUCCUGGGGUUUACAGGGGGCGCAGGCGGGCCUUUAAGCCGGCGGUGAAAUCGCGGGGCUCAACACCGCUGAGCCGUCGGAACUGGGGGCCUAGAGUGCGGCGGAGGCAUGCGGAAUGCGCGGUGUAGCGGUGAAAUGCAUAGAUAUCGCGCAGAACACCGAUUGCGAAGGCAGCGGGCCGUGCCGCCACGGACGCUGAGGCACGAAAGCGCGGGGAUCGAACAGGAUUAGAUACCCCGGUAGUC
rnacentral:rRNA from 1 species